UCGCGGCGGUAAUUCCAGCUCCAAUAGCGUAUAUUAAAGUUGUUGCAGUUAAAACGCUCGUAGUCGGAUUUCGGGGCGGGGCCGCCGGUCUGCCGAUAGGUAUGCACUGGCCGGAGACGGGAUUUUUACUUUGAAAAAAUCAGAGUGUUUCAAGCAGGCAGUCGCUCUUGCAUGGAUUAGCAUGGGAUAAUGAAAUAGGACUCUGGUGCUAUUUUGUUGGUUUCGAGCACCGGAGUAAUGAUUAACAGGGACAGUCAGGGGCACUCGUAUUCCGCCGAGAGAGGUGAAAUUCUUAGACCAGCGGAAGACGAACCACUGCGAAAGCAUUUGCCAGGGAUGUUUUCACUGAUC
rnacentral:rRNA from 1 species